CAAGAGUAAGAGAAGUCCAAAUCUCACAUGCCUUUGUAGCAGAAGAGUGAGUAUUUGUCAAAGUUGAAUAUUGUUACUACUAAAUUGACACCACUUGGUACAAGGUGUCGUUGCCUUUGUGAAUCUCAUCAGCCUCGUAAAUCAGAUCAAUCGCCCACUUCUUUACACACGUGUUAGGAUGAGUUACAUCUAUUGGGAUCUCCACUCCAUCAAGGCCAGUUUUAUACAUUUGGAUCUCCACUUCAUCACCGCCUUCUAAUUGCAAUCC